rnacentral:rRNA from 1 species
UACGGAGGGGACUAGCGUUGUCCGGAAUCAUUGGGCGUAAAGCGCGUGUAGGCGGCCCGGUAAGUCCGCUGUGAAAGUCGGGGGCUCAACCCUCGAAAGCCGGUGGAUACUGUCGGGCUCGAGUGCGGAAGAGGCGAGUGGAAUUCCUGGUGUAGCGGUGAAAUGCGCAGAUAUCAGGAGGAACACCGAUUGCGAAGGCAGCUCGCUGGGACGUUACUGACGCUGAGACGCGAAAGCGUGGGGAGCAAACAGG